GGAGUUGUAGCUCAGUGGUAGAGCGCUUGCCUCAUAUGUGUGAGGCACUAAGUUUGAUUCCUAGCACCA
rnacentral:tRNA from 1 species